AGCUUUGCACAGUGGCAGUAUUGUAGCCAAUGAGGUUUAUCCAAGGCACAUUUAUUGCUAGUAGAAGUAUUGAUUGGGAUACUUUGAAAUUCAGUUAGGAAAAGAAUGUCCUGGGAAGUCUGCCAUAUCUGGAUUGUGAUUUUAGUUACCACACAUAAUCUCUCCGAACAAUGGG
rnacentral:snRNA from 1 species